ACCUGGGUGGCUCAGUCGGUUGAGUGUCUGACUUCAGCUCAGGUCAUAAUAUCACGGCUUGUGAGUUCGAACCCCAUGUCAGGCU
rnacentral:tRNA from 1 species